rnacentral:rRNA from 1 species
UACAGAGGUCCCAAGCGUUGUUCGGAUUCAUUGGGCGUAAAGGGUGCGUAGGCGGCGCGGUAAGUCGGGUGUGAAAUCUCGGAGCUUAACUCCGAAACUGCAUUCCAUACUGCGGUGCUUGAGGACUGGAGAGGAGACUGGAAUUUACGGUGUAGCAGUGAAAUGCGUAGAGAUCGUAAGGAAGACCAGUGGCGAAGGCGGGUCUCUGGACAGUUCCUGACACUGAGGCACGAAGGCCAGGGGAGCAAACGGG